rnacentral:piRNA from 1 species
UGAAGAACUAUGAAAGGUCCCAAUACAGU